AGAGUUUGAUCAUGGCUCAGGACGAACGCUGGCGGCGUGCUUAACACAUGCAAGUCGAACGGAAAGGCCCUGCUUUUGUGGGGUGCUCGAGUGGCGAACGGGUGAGUAACACGUGAGUAACCUGCCCUUGACUUUGGGAUAACUUCAGGAAACUGGGGCUAAUACCGGAUAGGAGCUCCUGCUGCAUGGUGGGGGUUGGAAAGUUUCGGCGGUUGGGGAUGGACUCGCGGCUUAUCAGCUUGUUGGUGGGGUAGUGGCUUACCAAGGCUUUGACGGGUAGCCGGCCUGAGAGGGUGACCGGCCACAUUGGGACUGAGAUACGGCCCAGACUCCUACGGGAGGCAGCAGUGGGGAAUAUUGCACAAUGGGCGGAAGCCUGAUGCAGCAACGCCGCGUGCGGGAUGACGGCCUUCGGGUUGUAAACCGCUUUCGCCUGUGACGAAGCGUGAGUGACGGUAAU
rnacentral:rRNA from 1 species